rnacentral:rRNA from 1 species
AUUGAACGCUGGCGGCAUGCCUUACACAUGCAAGUCGAACGGCAGCAUAGGAGCUUGCUCCUGAUGGCGAGUGGCGAACGGGUGAGUAAUAUAUCGGAACGUGCCCUAGAGUGGGGGAUAACUAGUCGAAAGACUAGCUAAUACCGCAUACGAUCUACGGAUGAAAGUGGGGGACCGCAAGACCUCAUGCUCCUGGAGCGGCCGAUAUCUGAUUAGCUAGUUGGUGGGGUAAAAGCCUACCAAGGCGACGAUCAGUAGCUGGUCUGAGAGGACGACCAGCCACACUGGGACUGAGACACGGCCCAGACUCCUACGGGAGGCAGCAGUGGGGAAUUUUGGACAAUGGGGGCAACCCUGAUCCAGCAAUGCCGCGUGAGUGAAGAAGGCCUUCGGGUUGUAAAGCUCUUUUGUCAGGGAAGAAACGGUAGUAGCUAAUAUCUACUACUAAUGACGGUACCUGAAGAAUAAGCACCGGCUAACUACGUGCCAGCAGCCGCCGUAACAC